CGCGUAGGCGGUGUACACAGUCAGGCGUGAAAUUCCCGGGCUCAACCUGGGGGCUGCGCUUGAUACAUGUACGCUUGAGUUCGGAAGAGGGUCGUGGAAUUCCCAGUGUAGAGGUGAAAUUCGUAGAUAUUGGGAAGAACACCGGUGGCGAAGGCGGCGACCUGGUCCGAUACUGACGCUGAGGCGCGAAAGCGUGGGGAGCAAACA
rnacentral:rRNA from 1 species